rnacentral:misc_RNA from 1 species
AACUUUCAGCAAUGGAUCACUUGGUUCUCGCAUCGAUGAAGAACGCAGCGAAUUGCGAUAAGUAAUGUGAAUUGCAGAUUUUCGUGAAUCAUUGAAUCUUUGAACGCAUAUUGCACUCUAUGGUAUUCCAUAGAGUAUACCUGUUUGAGCGUCAUUUCUCUCUUAAACCUUUGGGUUUAGUUAUGGGGGUCGUGUUUCUUUCUUUAAACAAAGAAACUCCCCUGAAAUGGCUCGGCAUGCUUCCCUUACCUUGCUAAGUAGCUUUAGCUGGCUUUAUUAUGUAGGUUUUACCAAUAUUAAUAAACACCCAGUUAAUUGGCUGAAAGGUUUGUGGUAAGAAGCCUAAACAAAAUUUUGUUUUAGAACAUAAAUUUUGACCUCAAAUCAGGUAAGGAUACCCGCUGAACUUAAGCAUAUCAAUAAGCGGAGGAU